rnacentral:rRNA from 1 species
UACGGGGGGGGCAAGCGUUGUUCGGAAUUACUGGGCGUAAAGGGCUCGUAGGCGGCCAACUAAGUCGGACGUGAAAUCCCUCAGCUCAACUGGGGAACUGCGUCUGAGACUGGUGGGCUUGAGUGCAGGAGAGGAACGCGGAAUUCCAGGUGUAGCGGUGAAAUGCGUAGAUAUCGUAAGGAAGACCAGUGGCGAAGGCGGGUCUCUGGACAGUUCCUGACGCUGAGGCACGAAGGUCAGGGGAGCAAACGGG